GCCCCCGCCCCCGCCCCGCAGGGCCCCCAGGCCGGGCGCUGGGGGCGCACAGGCAUACAGAUUCUCUCUCCUCACCACGCGGCUGCUGCUGGAGGAUGGAGGAGGGGUGGUGUCAGCAAUUCAAGACUGUCUUUCCUACCCUCUUCAGUGCCCUUCCUUGAUAAGCUGUUUAAACCAGGUAUGUAAGGUUCAUGUGGAUAAGGGCUUUGUCUUGUUCAGCAACGUGUCCAUUGCCCUGGAACAGUGCCUACUACCUAGCAGCCAUUCAUGUUCCAGGAAGUCAUGGCAAUUGAGAAGGCGUAGGAGGAAAUGCUCUCAAGCUGGGCCAGUGGCCAACUGCAGAACGGAGAGUGGCCGAGCAGGGAAGGUCAUAGAAGGCACAGGAUGGGGAAGGACACUGGAGACCAGGUUCCUGUAGGCUUCCAGAGACCACCUGCAUUUGUUGGUUGAUAGCCUCUUCCUCGAAUCACCCUGAUCCUCUGCUUCUGUGGCCACAUUUUCAUCUCUCCAAAUCUGAGUCUUCUGCCUGUCUCCUCUAGGGACCCUUGAGAUGACUUUGGGCCCAUCCAGAUCAUCCAAGAUAAUCUCCCCUUCUCAAGUUUCUUAAUCACUUCGGCAAGGUCUUUUUUGCCACAUAAAGUAAUAUUUGCACUGGGUUCAGGAAUCAGGAUGUGGGCAUCUUUGUGGGGGGAGUCACUAUUCCACCUACCACACAGAGCCCCUUCAACAAGUGAGAUUAGAUGAGAAAAUGUUGGUGAAGCACUGAGCCCAGAGAUAGAGCAUAGUAGGUGUGGAUGCUGGUGAUAGUGAAGGGGUGAAUGGCUGACAAAGACCAGGUGACUAAUUUCACAGCUGCCAGAAAUCAGCCUCCAGGGACACACAAGGAGCUUUGCCACACGCUGAAUCAGAUAAGGCCUCUGACUUUGUUUUGCCCCAGAAGCAGACCUCAAGAAGAGGACUCCAGUGCAAGUAGUUUAUUUAGAAGGCAAGCCCACAAAAAGUGGGAAAGCGAGACAGGCAAGGCAAGGCAAGGAAACCAAUGGAGAAUGCCAUGAAGCUAGUUACCACCAUAGGCAGGUGGAGCUUAAUCCCACUGGGGAAUUGUGGAAAACAGUGUGGAGCUCUGCACCUCAGAGUUAACCUACCUGAGAGGUGACAGGGCUGGGGUAUGGAUGCACCAAUUCCCUUCAGUCUGUUGCAAGUUGUUCCAGGGAGGGGGAGAGUGGAGUUAAUUCACCUACACACCCAUCUGCACACACAUAUAUAAAGCAGGCUCUGCUAUUUACAAUAGCAAAGACUUGGAACCAACCCAAAUGCCCAUCAAUGAUAGACUGGAUAAAGAAAAGGUGGCACAUAUACACCAUGGAAUACUAUGCAGCCAUAAAAAAGAAUGAGUUCAUGUCCUUUGCGGGGACAUGAAUGAAGUUGGAAAUCAUCAUCCUCAGCAAACUAACACAGGAACAUAAAACCAAACACUGCAUGUUCUCACUCAUAAGUGGGAGCUGAACAAUGAUAACACAUGGACAUAGGGAGGGGAAUAUCACACACUGAAGCCUGUCAGGGGGUGGGAGGAAAGGGAAGGGAGAGCAUUAGGACAAAUACCUAAUGCAUGCAGGCCUUAAAACCUAGAUGAUUGGUUGAAAGGUGCAGCAAACCACCAUGGCACAUGUAUACCUAUGUAACAAACCUGCACAUUCAGCACAUGUAUCCCAGAACUUAAAGUAAAAUAAAAUAAGUAAUGAUAGAAAAAAAAUUAAAAAGUAAAGCAGGCUCUGAUGGCCAGAGAAUGCCUACCUGCAAAUAUCCAUAGGUGCUGGCAACUGGAAGUCUGGCUGCGUGCACUGAAAUGGCAAAGAUAGGGGUGCUGCGGCCAGGUACUGGUGGUGUCUGCUACCCCACCUUGAGCCUAUAGUCUUCAUUUCUUGUGGACACUAUCCACAGGCCAAGAUAAUGCAGAAAGAUGAGAAAAUCAAGGAGUCAGCGUCUGCCCAAAGUGAAGGUAAGAGGAUGGCUUGGAAUUCACAGCUGGCAACUGAAGCUGUUGAAAGACAUCACCUUAAUGUUGCUCUCCAGGGCUUGCAGCCCUCUUAGGACAGGUGCUGUCUGCAGGGCGGCCUUGCGGUGACAGUGGUCGCCCCGCUGAAUCCCCAAUGCUGUCUUAUAUUGCCACUUUCCUGGGAGGCUGUCAUCCAUCUCUGAUUUAGACUACCCCGAGGUCUUACGGUUAAGCUGUUGAGUAGGUUUUGUCAUUCUGUAUUAUUUUCCUUUGUACUUUUUGUUCAGGAAGGUUCCUGGCUGUCUUUGGUGU
ensembl:lncRNA STX17-DT STX17 divergent transcript